rnacentral:misc_RNA from 1 species
CCGUGAUAUAGGCCAAAAUCCAAUUUCCAUUUCACGUGCCAGCGAAUUUUCGAACAAACUCUGCAGAUCUGCCACAAACUGCACCCAAGUGCCAAUCCCACGAAUUUCCACUUGCCGAUUAAGCAGAUGUAAUAAUUUAGAGCCAUGGUGAUUAUGACAGAGCCUCUAUAGCACUGCCCAGUGGCCAUGCAGCUUCAACAAGGGAUUCCCUGUACUUGACCUUCUUCACCAAUGUAAUUUCUUGCCAAGGUUCAAGAGCAAAUCCAUCUACAAGCAAUGUAUACUGGUAGACAAGAUCCAUGCAUAAGAACGGCAGGUUACCCUCCUCAAGACGUUGAUAUAAAGAAUUGGCAUCCUCAAGUUUAGUUUCACAAGCACGCUUAGCUGCGUCCUCAAAAUCCACAGGAUGAACUUUGGC